rnacentral:rRNA from 1 species
GACGAACGCUGGCGGCGUGCUUAACACAUGCAAGUCGAACGGAAAGGCCCUGCUUUUGUGGGGUGCUCGAGUGGCGAACGGGUGAGUAACACGUGAGUAACCUGCCCUUGACUUUGGGAUAACUUCAGGAAACUGGGGCUAAUACCGGAUAGGAGCUCCUGCUGCAUGGUGGGGGUUGGAAAGUUUCGGCGGUUGGGGAUGGACUCGCGGCUUAUCAGCUUGUUGGUGGGGUAGUGGCUUACCAAGGCUUUGACGGGUAGCCGGCCUGAGAGGGUGACCGGCAAAAUUGGGACUGAGAUACGGCCCAGACUACUACGGGAGGCAGCAGUGGGGAAGAUUGCACAAUGGGCGGAAGCCUGAUGCAGAAACGCCGCGUGCGGGAUGACGGCCUUCGGGUUGUAAACCGCUUUCGCCUGUGACGAAGCGUGAGUGACGGUAAUGGGUAAAGAAGCACCGGCUAACUACGUG